rnacentral:lncRNA from 1 species
AAUUUUUGUACUUAUUAUAUGCAAAAUAACUGAUCUGCACUCCCCAUACCACAGAUGAUAUAAAAAGGGCUGUAUCAUUUAAAGUGUAAAAAGGUUAUAUGGUGAUAAAUUUUAUGUGGUGUUCAUGGAUACUUAGAAAAAUCAAAUGUUUACAUCAUAUCAGUGUUCUUAUUUGCAGAUCCGAAAGAUCGGAAAGACAUGGCAGAAGUACUUAAGUCAACUGAACUCUUCCUCCAGUUGCUGUCUGACCUUGGUCUUCGGAGAAGCCUUCAAGCAGAACCAGUUGUAAUAGAAGCAGAUGGCCAGCAAUCUCAAAGAAGGUCGCCACAAAAAGAAGCUGAGAAUAAGAAGAAAUCAAGGAAAACAAGUGCAGGUGUAACACAGUCCCCAGGAAAAUUAUCAGAGGUAAAUUAAUUCAUGGUUACAGUUAGAUGUGCAAUAUUAUAUGUAGUCACCUUCCACUUGAUACCAAAAAGGAUAAAGACUGUGUUCACUGACUGACCUGCAAGAUAUAAUUUAGUUUUUAUUUUAUCACUACUAUAAAUAUUGUUUCAGUAUUAUGGGAAAGUCUAAUGGUCCUUUCAAAAUGUUAUAAGGUAGAACUUUGCACAUCGCUCACCUGUUAUCAUUGCACUUAAGGACAAGAAGAUCAAAGAAUCAUAAUCCAAAUCAAUCAAAAGAAUUAUGAGAAUAUAUAGUUAAA